rnacentral:rRNA from 1 species
GACGAACGCUGGCGGCGUGCUUAACACAUGCAAGUCGAACGGAAAGGCCCUGCUUUUGUGGGGUGCUCGAGUGGCGAACGGGUGAGUAACACGUGAGUAACCUGCCCUUGACUUUGGGAUAACUUCAGGAAACUGGGGCUAAUACCGGAUAGGAGCUCCUGCUGCAUGGUGGGGGUUGGAAAGUUUCGGCGGUUGGGGAUGGACUCGCGGCUUAUCAGCUUGUUGGUGGGGUAGUGGCUUACCAAGGCUUUGACGGGUAGCCGGCCUGAGAGGGUGACCGGCCACAUUGGGACUGAGAUACGGCCCAGACUCAUACGGGAGGCAGCAGUGGGGAAUAUUGCACAAUGGGCGGAAGCCUGAUGCAGCAACGCCGCGUGCGGGAUGACGGCCUUCGGGUUGUAAACCGCUUUCGCAUGUGACGAAGCGUGAGUGACGGUAAUGGGUAAAGAAGCACCGGCUAACUACGU